AGCGAACGCUGGCGGCAGGCCUAACACAUGCAAGUCGAACGGUAGCACAGUAAGUGCCUGCUCUUACGGGUUGCGAGAGGCGGAAGGGAGAGGUAUAUAACGGACCCUACUUCUUCGUGGGGGUUUACGAAGGGAAACUUACUCCAAUAUAGCAUACGACCUACGGGUGAAUGUACGGGAACUUCGGACCUUCCGCGCUUGAAUAAGCCGAUGUCGGAUUAGAUAGUUGGGGGGGGAAAGGCCCACAAAGGCGACAAUCCUUAGCUGGGCUAAGAGGUUGAUCGGCAACACGGGAACGAGGACAGGGUCCGGACUCCUACGGGAGGAAGCGGUGGGAAGUAUUGGACAAUGGGGGCAGGCCUGAUCAAGCCAUACCGCGUGGGUGAGGAAGGCCUUGGGGUUGUAAAGCCCUUUUGUUGGGAAAGAAGAGCAGCAGGUUGAAACCCCGCUGUUCUGACGGUACCCAAAGAGUAAGCACCGGCUAACUUCGUG
rnacentral:rRNA from 1 species